AAGCAGGAAAUGUUACACCACAACUGUAGUGUUCUAUUGCUGCUCCUCCUGCAAGCAGUUGAUGGAUACUGUCUGUGUCUGGCAUUAUUCUUAAACUU
ensembl:snoRNA SNORA63 Small nucleolar RNA SNORA63